GCGGGGAUGCCCGAGCCUGGUCAAACGCGGACCAAAGGGGGUGGGCUCAAGACCUACUGGCUGUGCCUACAUGGGUUCAAAUCCCAUUCCCCGCA
rnacentral:tRNA from 1 species